AACGGGUGAGUAACACGUGAGCAACCUGCCCCUGACUCUGGGAUAAGCGCUGGAAACGGCGUCUAAUACUGGAUACGAGUAGCGGCCGCAUGGUCAGUUACUGGAAAGAUUUUUUGGUUGGGGAUGGGCUCGCGGCCUAUCAGCUUGUUGGUGAGGUAAUGGCUCACCAAGGCGUCGACGGGUAGCCGGCCUGAGAGGGUGACCGGCCACACUGGGACUGAGACACGGCCCAGACUCCUACGGGAGGCAGCAGUGGGGAAUAUUGCACAAUGGGCGGAAGCCUGAUGCAGCAACGCCGCGUGAGGGAUGACGGCCUUCGGGUUGUAAACCUCUUUUAGCAGGGAAGAAGCGAAAGUGACGGUACCUGCAGAAAAAGCGCCGGCUAACUACGUGCCAGCAGCCGCGGUAAUACGUAGGGCGCAAGCGUUAUCCGGAAUUAUUGGGCGUAAAGAGCUCGUAGGCGGUUUGUCGCGUCUGCUGUGAAAUCCCGAGGCUCAACCUCGGGCCUGCAGUGGGUACGGGCAGACUAGAGUGCGGUAGGGGAGAUUGGAAUUCCUGGUGUAGCGGUGGAAUGCGCAGAUAUCAGGAGGAACACCGAUGGCGAAGGCAGAUCUCUGGGCCGUAACUGACGCUGAGGAGCGAAAGGGUGGGGAGCAAACAGGCUUAGAUACCCUGGUAGUCCACCCCGUAAACGUUGGGAACUAGUUGUGGGGUCCAUUCCACGGAUUCCGUGACGCAGCUAACGCAUUAAGUUCCCCGCCUGGGGAGUACGGCCGCAAGGCUAAAACUCAAAGGAAUUGACGGGGACCCGCACAAGCGGCGGAGCAUGCGGAUUAAUUCGAUGCAACGCGAAGAACCUUACCAAGGCUUGACAUAUACGAGAACGGGCCAGAAAUGGUCAACUCUUUGGACACUCGUAAACAGGUGGU
rnacentral:rRNA from 1 species